rnacentral:rRNA from 1 species
GACGAACGCUGGCGGCGUGCUUAACACAUGCAAGUCGAGCGGUAAGGCCCUUUCGGGGGUACACGAGCGGCGAACGGGUGAGUAACACGUGGGUGACCUGCCCUUAGCUCUGGGAUAAGCCUGGGAAACUGGGUCUAAUACCGGAUAUGACUCCAUGACGCAUGUUGUGGGGUGGAAAGCCUUGCGCGGCUAGGGAUGGGCCCGCGGCCUAUCAGCUUGUUGGUGGGGUGAUGGCCUACCAAGGCGACGACGGGUAGCCGGCCUGAGAGGGCGACCGGCCACACUGGGACUGAGACACGGCCCAGACUCCUACGGGAGGCAGCAGUGGGGAAUCUUGCGCAACGGGCGAAAGCCUGACGCAGCGACGCCGCGUGAGGGAUGACGGCCU